rnacentral:rRNA from 1 species
UAGAUCUCAAAUCAGGCAGGAUUACCCG